rnacentral:rRNA from 1 species
UACGGAGGGUGCGAGCGUUGUCCGGAAUCACUGGGCGUAAAGGGCGCGUAGGUGGCGCGGGCAGUCAACGGUGAAAGUUCGGGGCUCAACCCUGAAUCGGCCGUCGAUACUCCCGGGCUGGAGCACUGUAGAGGCUAAUGGAAUUCCGGGUGUAGCGGUGGGAUGCGUAGAGAUCCGGAAGAACACCGGUGGCGAAGGCGGUUAGCUGGGCAGUUGCUGACACUGAGGCGCGACAGCGUGGGGAGCAAACAGGG